ensembl:snRNA U6 U6 spliceosomal RNA
ACUGGUUCAGCAGCAUAUACUAAAACUGGAAUGACGCAGAGAAGUUUAGCAUGGUCCCUGUGCAAGGAGGAAGUGCAAAUUCUUGAAGUGUUCCAUAUUUAA